GGGGAUGUAGCUCAGCUGGGAGAGCGCCUGCUUUGCAAGCAGGGGGUCAGGGGUUCGAGCCCCCUCAUCUCCA
rnacentral:tRNA from 2 species